UAAUACGGAGGGAGCGAGCGUUGUUCGGAAUUACUGGGCGUAAAGCGUGCGCAGGCGGAUUUCCAAGUCAGGAGUGAAAUCCCCGGGCUCAACCCGGGAAUUGCUUUUGAAACUGGAUGUCUUGAGUCUCGGAGAGGUUGGCGGAAUUCCCAGUGUAGAGGUGAAAUUCGUAGAUAUUGGGAGGAACACCAGUGGCGUAAGCGGCCAACUGGACGAGAACUGACGCUCAUGCACGAAAGUGUGGGGAUCAAACAGG
rnacentral:rRNA from 1 species